UACGAAGGGGGCUAGCGUUGCUCGGAAUUACUGGGCGUAAAGGGCGCGUAGGCGGCUGUUUAAGUCGGGGGUGAAAGCCCAGGGCUCAACCCUGGAAUAGCCUUCGAUACUGGACAUCUUGAGUACGGGAGAGGUGAGUGGAACUCCGAGUGUAGAGGUGAAAUUCGUAGAUAUUCGGAAGAACACCAGUGGCGAAGGCGACUCACUGGCCCGUUACUGACGCUGAGGCGCGAAAGCGUGGGGAGCAAACAGG
rnacentral:rRNA from 1 species